GGGGAUGAUCGGUUUCGACGUUGUUCGCCGCGCCAGGGGAAGCGGGCCGAGGACGCAGAGUUGUCUCGCUAAUGCCCUCUGCAAACCAAUAAGUGCCAAACCUAUGCGCACUGACUUCGCUCUCGCUGCCUAGCCGGCCGGAGCAGUCCGUCAGCCCGGGGAUGCUUCCGCCCCGGAUCCUGGCGUCAUUGAGGAAGCCACUGCCUGAUGUUCCUGCCGUCGGAGCAUCCGGAACACCUUGACGGCUGGGCCCGGAUCAGCCGCAGCGUCUGCCACGCCGGCUGGGGCCAAGAAAAUCCGACGCAGACUGCGCCCGGAGAAGCCCUGGCAACACGAGCACGGACGGGGGUUCGAUUCCCCCCAUCUCCAC
rnacentral:tmRNA from 1 species